CAUAAUUUCUCGCUGUCAGUUUCGCCCUCUAAAACCCUCCACCGGCAACCAACCACAGCCACUCUAACCUCUCUUUCAGCAGUCAGCCAACCACAACCAACCACAGCAGUCAGCUCUCUCUUCCAUUGCCAAGGAAAUUAAGAAAAAAUUAUCCCUUAAAAAAAAAAUUAUCCAACGACGGAAAUUACUGUGUCUUCCUCAGCUAAUACAUUCCCACCACUUGUCCCUGCGCUUUCCAUUUUUGUGCCUCCGUUUGGCUCCUUGCUCGCUGCAUCCUAUUAUUUCCUCCCUCCCUGAAACGCACGCCACUGGCUACCGGCGAGGAAGAACGUAAAACAGAGCGUAAAGUGAAUGAUCUGUUGUUCUGUUGCGGUGGCCUUUCGGUCGAGUAUUUCCUGAAUCGCCUGCCCUCUCUUCUCGGGGCUGGAUCGGCUUUUCUCUUGAGUUGAUUGAUAAGGAGAAGCAACACUGGCGGUGAUGAGAGGAAGCCUCUUGAUUAACCGUCGCGGGAUGCAGAGAUUCCGGCAACUCGCGAUCACUGUCACUGGAUCGGUUAAGAUCAAGCUAUUACUCUGCUGUUGUAUAGCUUUUACGCUGCUCGCGCUCGCUGGACGCGCAUCGGAUUUCAUGAGAUGGACCAAACACGUUGUUUGUGCUGAUCAGCUCUCUGUUCCUG
rnacentral:misc_RNA from 1 species